UGGGGAAUCUUGCACAAUGCGCGAAAGCGUGAUGCAGCAACGCCGCGUGCGGGAAGAAGGCCUUAGGGUUGUAAACCGCUUUCAGUUGGGACGAAGCUUCGCGAGUUAAUAGCUCAUUGGAGUGACGGUACCUUCAGAAGAAGCGCCGGCUAACUACGUGCCAGCAGCCGCGGUAAUACGUAGGGCGCGAGCGUUGUCCGGAAUCAUUGGGCGUAAAGCGCGUGUAGGCGGCUGAGUAAGUCUGCUGUGAAAGUCCAGGGCUCAACCCUGGGAUGCGGCAGAUACUGCUUGGCUAGAGUACGGGAGGGGCGAGUGGAAUUCCUGGUGUAGCGGUGGAAUGCGCAGAUAUCAGGAGGAACACCUAUGGCGAAGGCAGCUCGCUGGAACGUUACUGACGCUGAGACGCGAAAGCGUGGGGAGCAAACAGG
rnacentral:rRNA from 1 species